rnacentral:rRNA from 1 species
UACGUAGGUGGCAAGCGUUGUCCGGAUUUACUGGGUGUAAAGGGCGUGCAGCCGGGACUGCAAGUCAGAUGUGAAAUCCACGGGCUUAACCCGCGAACUGCAUUUGAAACUGCGGAUCUUGAGUACCGGAGAGGUUAUCGGAAUUCCUUGUGUAGCGGUGAAAUGCGUAGAUAUAAGGAAGAACACCAGUGGCGAAGGCGGAUAACUGGACGGCAACUGACGGUGAGGCGCGAAAGCGUGGGGAGCAAACAGG